rnacentral:rRNA from 1 species
GACGUAGGGCGCGAGCGUUGUCCGGAUUUAUUGGGCGUAAAGAGCUCGUAGGCGGCUUGUCGCGUCGUCCGUGAAAACUUGGGGCUCAACCCCAAGCUUGCGGUCGAUACGGGCAGGCUAGAGUUCGGUAGGGGAGACUGGAAUUCCUGGUGUAGCGGUGAAAUGCGUAGAUAUCAGGAGGAACACCGGUGGCGAAGGCGGCUACCUGGGCAGAAACUGACGCUGAGGCGCGAAAGCUAGGGGAGCAAACAGG